UACGAAGGGGGCUAGCGUUGUUCGGAUUUACUGGGCGUAAAGCGCACGUAGGCGGAUCGUUAAGUCAGGGGUGAAAUCCCGAGGCUCAACCUCGGAACUGCCUUUGAUACUGGCGAUCUUUGAGUCCGGGAGAGGUGAGUGGAACUCCGAGUGUAGAGGUGAAAUUCGUAGAUAUUCGGAAGAACACCAGUGGCGAAGGCGGCUCACUGGCCCGGUACUGGCGCUCAGGUGCGAAAGCGUGGGGAGCAAACAGG
rnacentral:rRNA from 1 species